rnacentral:tmRNA from 1 species
GGGGGCGUCACGGCUUCGACGGAGAUGCUUGCGGCCAAGUGGCAUGCCGGGGGGCAUUCACCCGUGAUCGAGUGCAAAACGAUAAGUGCCAAUCAUGAAAUGGCAUACGCUGCUUAAUUGAUUUAAGUAGCCGUCCUAGGUGGUUCCGCCCGCGGACCGCCGGUGGACGUCAUUCAGCGGGCUGGCUGCCGAUGCUAAGCCAGGGCGUCGGCGGUGAGAUCCACGGGCUAGCGGAACGCGUUUCUCGUCGGUUCUGAGCGCGGUUCGCGAACGUUUCCGGUGAAGGCCGGAAGCAUGAGCCGAAUAAGCAUGUAGUCACUUCGCCAGUAACAUUUUCGGACGCGGGUUCAACUCCCGCCGCCUCCACCA